rnacentral:misc_RNA from 1 species
GAAAUCUUCAAAGUAAAUCUUUUGUUAAUUCAAUCGGUUCUACUUUGGUCUUGGAGGUUAUUGCAGCUUCACACCUGCUCCUCUUUGUUCAUUAGCUGGAUCUCAGUGUUAUGCUUGGUUCCACUCAGCGUGAUAAGUAUCUAUCGCUGAGGACACUGUAACAAGUGGCCAAGGGAAAUGCAGAUGAACCGCUUCUAAUGCUCCAUUUAUUUGGACAACAUUUUUUAUGAUCUGAUCUCAAAUCAGGUAGGACUACCCGCUGAACUUAA